CCUCGGGGGGCUGCAGUGAGGAAUAUUGCACAAUGGGGGGAACCCUGAUGCAGCAACGCCGCGUGGAGGAUGACGCAUUUCGGUGUGUAAACUCCUUUUAUAUGUCAAGAAAAUGACGGUAGCAUAUGAAUAAGCACCGGCUAACUCCGUGCCAGCAGCCGCGGUAAUACGGAGGGUGCAAGCGUUACUCGGAAUCACUGGGCGUAAAGGACGCGUAGGAGGGUUGGAAAGUCAGGUGUGAAAUCCUACAGCUUAACUGUAGAACUGCACUUGAAACUUCUAAUCUAGAGUAUGGGAGGGGGAGAUAGAAUUAGUAGUGUAGGGGUAAAAUCCGUAGAUAUCACUAGGAAUACCUAAAGCGAAGGCGAUCUCCUGGAACAUUACUGACGCUAAGGCGUGAAAGCGUGGGGAGCAAACAGGAUUAGAUACCCGAGUAGUC
rnacentral:rRNA from 1 species